GUGCCAGCAGCCGCGGUAAUACGUAGGUGGCAAGCGUUGUCCGGAUUUAUUGGGCGUAAAGCGAGCGCAGGCGGUUUCUUAAGUCUGAUGUGAAAGCCUUCGGCUCAACCGAAGAAGUGCAUCGGAAACUGGGAAACUUGAGUGCAGAAGAGGACAGUGGAACUCCAUGUGUAGCGGUGAAAUGCGUAGAUAUAUGGAAGAACACCAGUGGCGAAGGCGGCUGUCUGGUCUGUAACUGACGCUGAGGCUCGAAAGCAUGGGUAGCAAACAGGAUUAGAUACCCUGGUAGUCCAUGCCGUAAACGAUGAGUGCUAGGUGUUGGAGGGUUUCCGCCCUUCAGUGCCGCAGCUAACGCAUUAAGCACUCCGCCUGGGGAGUACGACCGCAAGGUUGAAACUCAAAGGAAUUGACGGGGGCCCGCACAAGCGGUGGAGCAUGUGGUUUAAUUCGAAGCAACGCGAAGAACCUUACCAGGUCUUGACAUCCUUUGACCACUCUAGAGAUAGAGCUUUCCCUUCGGGGACAAAGUGACAGGUGGUGCAUGGUUGUCGUCAGCUCGUGUCGUGAGAUGUUGGGUUAAGUCCCGCAACGAGCGCAACCCUUAUUACUAGUUGCCAGCAUUAAGUUGGGCACUCUAGUGAGACUGCCAGUGACAAACCGGAGGAAGGUGGGGACGACGUCAAAUCAUCAUGCCCCUUAUGACCUGGGCUACACACGUGCUACAAUGGAUGGUACAACGAGUUGCGAGACCGCGAGGUUUAGCUAAUCUCUUAAAACCAUUCUCAGUUCGGAUUGUAGGCUGCAACUCGCCUACAUGAAGCCGGAAUCGCUAGUAAUCGCGGAUCAGCAUGCCGCGGUGAAUACGUUCCCGGGCCUUGUACACACCGCCCGU
rnacentral:rRNA from 1 species